ACCCCUAAAAUCCGGGUGUGACACCUCUCAAGCUGACAUUGGUUCAGCAAUCAGCACAGUACCACGCUGUAAUGAGAUUGUUGGCAGCGAGUCAGCUGAUCAAUCAGGCAGUAGGUGAUGCUCUGAGUGGUUUGCUUUUAGUAGAGGCUAUUUUACAGUAUAAGGGAUGGUCAUUUCAGGAUUGGUGUGGAUUAUAUAGUGAUUUGCCCAGUAGACAACUGUGGGGAAAAGGGGUUAAUCUACUCAUUGCAUUAUGCUAUUUGAUAUCAUGAGUACUGGAUUGCCAAUCAAGUUACCAGUUAAAAUAUGCUCAUAGCACUGAGUACAGUAUGGUAGAUGAUAGGAAAUUAGAACCAGACUUCACAUCCUUUAAAAAUAGCACAGUACAUAAACAAUAUGAUGAUGAAGCGGCCAGUACUAAAACUUAUUGUUUGGGCUGUUGCUGAUAUUUAAAAAUCUCUGGUCUCACUAACUUUUUAGUUAUGUUGACAAACACAUCUUAAUUCCAUUGCACGUAAAGCGAUGUGCAGAAAUGUCACGCAAACUAAAAUUUUUCAGUGAUCAGAUCAACAGGGCAGGUUUAAGAUCUUCUGUUCGACCUGCACUUGAACCGGAUAUUGAUCUGGAGGAGCUAGAGGUGCAUUACUCAUAUUUCUUGUAACAGAAAGUUUUUAGCCCUGAUUCAUAAUGUUAACACUAUUACAUUGCUCAUAUUGAUCUGGAGGAGCUAGAGGUGCAUUACUCAUAUUUCAGUGAUUCAUAAUGUUAACCGGAAUACAUGAGGGAAAUGCCUAUCUGCUCGAACAGGGAGUGCAUCAAGGAGCACAUGGACAUUCUGGAGUGAGAUUUGUUAGUGGAAUAAUAUUAAAGUCGAAGGCACUUGCUUUUGAGCGGAUGCUUUUUCGAGCUACAAGAGGAAACAUGUUAUUCAAUCAGGCAUCUGCAGGGGAACCUGUAACUGAUCCCAUAUCUGGUGAAGAGGUAGAGAAAGCUGUUUUUGUAGUUUUCUUUUCUGGGGAACAAGCAAAAGCAAAGA